UAGCAGGUUUUAAAUUUUUAAUACAUUCAAAUCUGAAAAAGAUAAAUAAUACAUUCAAAUUUUAACGUGAAAAUAUCGAUGACCGACUCAAAUCAAACAAAAUUAAAAGAUUGGAUAUUAAAUUAAAAUUUUGAAAUAUUAGAUAGUUGUUUCAAAAUAGUUGAUACUUCAGAUAAAUUCUGCAUGUAUUUAUAAAAAAAAAAAAGGUUUUAGCAGCGCACAUGGUAGUACGAGAUAAUUUAUUUUAGGGGCAAUUGCUUAUAUAUCCCUAAAAAGUUUCCGACUUUCCGAUUUAUCCCUCUUAGAAGGCUAAUAUUGAAAAUACCCUUUUUACGUUCCAACCUAUUUCUAAUAUACCCCUAAAGUUAAAAUCUAUUAAUUAACUCUAUUAUCUCUGUAAAAUUACUAUUUUGCCCUUUCAAAUAUAUUCUUUCCUCAUCAGUGUCUUUCUUAUUUACCCUUAAAGUCAGGAGCACAAAAAGUAUUUUGACUUUUGAUUUUUUCCAAUAUAUAUAACCCCUCUACCGUCACCAACCUUUUUUAUUUGCCCUUAAAUUAAGGAUAAAAUUGGCAUUUUAAUUUUUGUUAACUGUGGAAGAUAUUUAACUCACGUUUAAUUCAAGUUAAUUUAGAAGAAGAUAACUGAAAAAAUAUUUUACAAUAACGAUGGAAUAUAUGAGUGGUAUUUUAGAAAAAAAAAUUUGAAUAUUUUUAAACGUACAAGAAAAGUAUAUAGAUAGGCAAUUAUCCUUUUAUUUUAACAACCAUAUU
rnacentral:lncRNA from 1 species